rnacentral:rRNA from 1 species
UACAGAGGGGGCAAGCGUUGUUCGGAAUUACUGGGCGUAAAGGGCGCGUAGGCGGCCUGUUAAGUCGAACGUGAAAUCCCCGGGCUCAACCCGGGAACUGCGUCCGAUACUGGCAGGCUUGAAUCCGGGAGAGGGAUGCGGAAUUCCAGGUGUAGCGGUGAAAUGCGUAGAUAUCUGGAGGAACACCGGUGGCGAAGGCGGCAUCCUGGACCGGCAUUGACGCUGAGGCGCGAAAGCGUGGGGAACAAACAGG